UACGUAGAAGACUAGUGUUAUUCAUCUUUAGUAGGUUUAAAGGGUACCUAGACGGUAUAAUUAGUCUUAAACAGGAUACGGUUAUACUAGAGUUAUAUAUGAGAAGGCGAGUAUUUAUGGAGUAGAGUUGAAAAUUCAUUGAUACCAUAACGACUGGUAACGGCGAAAAGCAACCUUUUAUCUAAUAACUGACGUUGAGG
rnacentral:rRNA from 1 species